rnacentral:rRNA from 1 species
GAUGAACGCUAGCGGGAGGCCUAACACAUGCAAGCCGAGCGGUAUUGUUUCUUCGGAAAUGAGAGAGCGGCGUACGGGUGCGUAACACGUGUGCAACCUGCCUUUAUCUGGGGGAUAGCCUUUCGAAAGGAAGAUUAAUACUCCAUAAUAUAUUGAACGGCAUCGUUUAAUAUUGAAAGCUCCGGCGGAUAGAGAUGGGCACGCGCAAGAUUAGCUAGUUGGUGAGGUAACGGCUCACCAAGGCGAUGAUCUUUAGGGGGCCUGAGAGGGUGAUCCCCCACAAUGGUACUGAGACACGGACCAGACUCCUACGGGAGGCAGCAGUGAGGAAUAUUGGUCAAUGGGUGCAAGCCUGAACCAGCCAUCCCGCGUGAAGGACGACUGCCCUACGGGUUGUAAACUUCUUUUGUAUAGGGAUAAACCUACCCUCGUGAGGGUAGCUGAAGGUACUAUACGAAUAAGCACCGGCUAACUCCGUGCCAGCCGCCGCAGUAA